UUAGCGGCCACGUUGGUAAGGGCAACGUUUCCAUUAAAUGCAAUGCUUGUACAUUGAAAAUAAGUCAUAACUUGCUCAAAUCUCAACAGAUUUUCAUUAGGUUUACUUUAUUGUCAUCUUCAAAGCGUAGCUAGCACUACAAAGCUUUCGUAAAAAGAGUCAAAAAAUAUAUUUUAAUUGCGAAAGGUUAUUCUCAGUUCCCUUGCUGUGAUUGUACGGCAUUGUAUGCAACCGUAUGCAGCACAACGUGCAGACAUCUUUGCUAUUUUGGUUUUUGUGUCGUCCACAAACAUGGAAGGCGCUGACACUUUGCCUCUACUGACUGAGCGUGGCUGUUGGCACGCACCUCAAAGGCGCAUGUCCUAUCAACCUAGUGAUCAUAGCUAUAUUCAGACGGUCCAGACCGACGGAAACUAGAAACGAAACGUUAAUCCGAGCACGGCGGAACAGAAGACUUUCGUGAAUAAAAAUGGAUUCCUUUUUUAGAAAUAUGAGAAAAUAUUGAUUUGUGAGCCAAAGACCAUGUGAACCCUUCUGCUUCGGGUCUACAAGAUGAGGGCAUUAGUGUGGAUAAGUUAUGAUCUCCUGGCCUAAAUCAUACUGGAUGGUGGAGUGUUUUAAGUCGUCCAAGCACGAGAUGCCAUUGCAACAGGAAGAUGUCAAAAACCAGGAAGAAGAAUACAUUGGAUUCGUAGCAAUCUUUUAGCUGUACUGCAAGGAAACGUGUCAAGCACAAGAUAUGUCAGACAAACAGAUCAAUGCAAAUGCCGUUGCUAAUUGGAUAGCCAGAGAGUCCCUGAUCUCCUCAAUCUCCUGCUGGGUCAUCUUGUCCGAGGGGGUGACGUCAAUGAUCUUCACGGCGUACUCCUGAGACGUCCGUUUGUCCACGCAGCGGCGCACCACACUGCUUACUCCCCUGAGCAAAAGAAGACACCUCAGAUGUCCUAUCAAUGUGCUAACUGUUUUAGUAAAUGUUUGUUUGUGUUUCACUAAGGAAGUGACGCAGAGGCAGGUUCAUGCAUACAACUUGAUUUCACCAACGAAUCCAUCCAUCCAUUUUCUACAGCGCUUGUCCUUAUUCACGUAUGGCUGACUUUGGGUGAUGGGCACUCUCGACUGGUUUCCAGCCAAUCGCAGCUGGAUAUGACUACUCUUUAAUAAAACUUAGUACAUGGGAAGGAAAGAAAAUAGAUGGAUGAUGCAUGACUCAUUAAGACAUCAGGUUGGAGACUGCCUAAUUUUAUCCAAUAUACUAUAUUUGAAAUGUCUCCCUGUAUGAUGGAGUACAGUUCUACACCUUUGGAAACAAUAAUAAACAUCGCUAAAUGGGUGGCUCUGUACAUGCACAUUUUUAAUAUAUAGUUUUUAUAUUGGAUGUCCAUCCAUCCUAACUUUUUAGCAGGAGGCUGGGGUAAUCUGGACUGGUCAUGCCAAUCGAGGGGCACAUGAUGAAAAAUGAAAAUUCACACUCAGACCUAUGGAGAAUUUAGACUAGUCUCCAAUGAACCUAACAUGCAUAUUUUUGGAAAGUGGGAAAAAUCCAAAGUACCUGGGGGGGAAAAAAACACGCAAGCAGGGGAAAAAUACAAACUCCACACAGGAAAAGAGGAGCCGAGAAUUGAAACCAGGACCUCUCAACUGUGAGGCAGAGGUGCUAACCACUUGGAUACAAUGCUUCCCUGUAUUGACUCUCGUGGAAUUUAAUAACUUUUGUGUCCAGGGAGUAUUUCUUAACUGCCCUAAAUCAAUGAACAAGAGGUCCCCUUUAGAAUAUUUAGUAAAAUACCUACAGUAAAGGCCAGCCAAGAAUGAAUUUCUUUUGCCAAUUAGAUUGUUGCUUUACAAUGUUUGUGUAUGUAAUUUUUGGGUUACCUUUAUUUUUGCA